rnacentral:piRNA from 1 species
GCGGACCCAUAAACCCGGAAAAGCGCGC